GGGACACUAAGCUAGCUAACAUAGAAACAAAGAAGACAGUAAGCAGGUUUAGAGCAAAGUCCACAGAGUAGAUCCAUGAAAAGAACAUAGGAAGGGAAAAAAGAUAUAUAAAACCAUGAAAGGAUAAAGGAAAAAAGAAAUGUCAAGACUUAAAUCAAGUUAGGUGAAUAAAGGAUAAAAGAUGAUGCCAAGGUUUUGGUAAAGGACAGUCAAGUAAGAUGGAGAAAGAAUUUGGUGGACUAUUUAAUGUUAGUCACCCAAAAAACCAUAGGGAUCUUAAUAUACCAGUGAAACCAAGGAAUGUUAAUUUCAUUUGAAGAAUAAAAUAUCAAAAGUCAAGGAAGGUCUAAAACGGAUGAAGCUAGGUAAAGCGUGUAGGUUAAACAAAA
rnacentral:misc_RNA from 1 species